GAAAGGGGGCCUCUGUUUACAAGCUCCUGCUUCUGGAUGAGCCCGCGUCCCAUCAGCUAGUUGGUAGGGUAAUGGCCUACCAAGGCUACGACGGGUAGCUGGUCUAAGAGGAUGGCCAGCCACACUGGAACUGAGACACGGUCCAGACUCCUACGGGAGGCAGCAGUGGGGAAUCUUGCGCAAUGGGCGAAAGCCUGACGCAGCGACGCCGCGUGGGUGACGAAGGCCUUCGGGGUUGUAAAGCCCUGUGGGGUAGAACGAACUGGCAUCGGGCUAAUAUCUCGGUGUCUUGACGGUACUGCCUUAGCAAGCAUCGGCUAACUCUGUGCCAGCAGCCGCGGUAAGACAGAGGAUGCGAACGUUGCUCGGAUUUACUGGGCGUAAAGCGCGUGUAGGCGGUCUCGUUAGUCGGGUGUGAAAGCCCCGGGCUCAACCCGGGAAGUGCACCCGAUACUGCGAGACUGGGGUACUGAAGAGGAGAGCGGAAUUCCCGGUGUAGAGGUGAAAUUCGUAGAUAUCGGGAG
rnacentral:rRNA from 1 species